GAUGAACGCUGGCGGCGUGCCUAAUACAUGCAAGUCGAGCGAACAGACGAGGAGCUUGCUCCUUUGACGUUAGCGGCGGACGGGUGAGUAACACGUAGGUAACCUACCUAUAAGACUGGGAUAACUUCGGGAAACCGGAGCUAAUACCGGAUAAUAUUUCGAACCGCAUGGUUCGAUAGUGAAAGAUGGCUUUGCUAUCACUUAUAGAUGGACCUGCGCCGUAUUAGCUAGUUGGUAAGGUAACGGCUUACCAAGGCAACGAUACGUAGCCGACCUGAGAGGGGGAUCGGCCACACUGGAACUGAGACACGGUCAAGACUCCUACGGGAGGCAGCAGUAGGGAAUCUUCCGCAAUGGGCGAAAGCCUGACGGAGCAACGCCGCGUGAGUGAUGAAGGUCUUCGGAUCGUAAAACUCUGUUACUAGGGAAGAACAAACGUGUAAGUAACUGUGCACGUCUUGACGGUACCUAAUCAGAAAGCCACGGCUAACUACGUG
rnacentral:rRNA from 1 species